AAACGCCGUUUUCGCCGAGCAGUUUCAAUCGUUACCCCUCUAUUCGGUUCCGAGAGCGGUUCUCGCGCGUUUAGAACUAGCGAAUCGCGAGUAGUGAUCACAUUAGAACACCGCUUCUUUGCCUGCUUUCUGUAGUUUAUAGCCAUUCUUUGUUUCACCGAAUCUGGAUUCACAGACAAGACUGUGAACUUCGUCGGACGAGAUGCGAGCGUGCCGGUGACAGCAAAAACAAUCCAGUAUGCACGGAAUGAUGUUCUGUGCGAGCCAAUGGACGCCAUUUUGGAUCGGCAACCUUUACGAGGGGGACCAGCUAGCUACUGUGACGUCCAUGCUGUGAUGUGCGGUGCAAUGAUGAAUGCUUACGCAGAAGACUGCUUAAUAAUGGCUAAAAAAUAUGUCCCCUAAUCUCAAAAAAUGCACUGGGUUCUUCUGCUGACUAUUUUCUUUUGUUAUGCGUCUUUGUUUCCUGGAUUAAGUGUGACGAAGAAAAAAAGAGCUCCCGAGUCAUCAUCUUUUGAUGACGACGAUCUCAGCCGCCCUAUUAUUGCGGAUAAGCUGAAACGCCUUUAUCCAGAAAAUGAAAGACUCAUAAAUAGUAUACCUAGUCGAAUUUAUGAAGUAAUUUAUCCUGUACAAAUUCGCCAACAUGUUAAAUUAGGCAUUUCUACUAGAGAAACUGGUGCCAAUAAAACUGGGGAGCAUUAUCAUCAAACAUCACUGCUCAUUAAAGCUUUUAAUUAUAAAUUUCGCAUUGAUUUAGAGCUCAAUACGCACCUACUUGCACCAAAUUUAAUACAAAAGCACUUUCUUCCCGAAGGGGCUCAGCAAAUUUCUACUCAGGAAAUAGAACAUUGUUACUAUCAUGGAACUACAAAAGACUAUCCUGGAGCCAUUGCUGCCUUUCGCACAUGUAAUGGGGUUAGUGGGAUUCUUCAUGUUGGAAACGACACAUUUGUUAUUCAUCCAUUUUAUGGGGGGGAUCAAUCAAAAAAACAUCCACAUGUUAUAUAUCGUUAUUUUUCUGAAUCAAAAGAUAAACAUACUUGUGGGAACACAGGAAUGCACGAAUGGGGUUUUAAAAUGUUUCGUAUGAGACCAACUCAAACUCGGUUAAAAAAAGAUGUUAGGCAAGUUAACAAAUUUGUAGAAUUGGCUUUAGUUCUUGAUCAGGCUAUGUUUGAUAAUCGAAAUGCAAGUAGAAAUGAAGUUGUGAAUGAUGCCAUCCAAAUUGUCAACUGUGUUGACAUGUAUUUUCGUACCGUUAAUACUCGAGUCUCAGUUGUAUAUGUAGAAACAUGGGCCCAUAAAGACCAGAUGGAAUUCAACAGUGAUGUCCGUCAAACACUGUUGAAUUUCAUGGAAUAUGCUUCUCGUAAACUUUAUAAGGUUGCCAAAGAUGCUACACAUUUGUUAACUGGUAGGAGGUUCCGAGGCCAUGAAGUUGGUAUGGCAGUUCCUGAUAGUAUAUGCACAGCAAAAGCAGUUGGCGUUAAUGAGGAUUCAAAUAUAUAUGAGCCUCAUCUAAUUGCCAGUACUGUAACACACAUGUUGGGGCAUAACAUUGGUAUGAGCCAUGACCACUACAACGGAACUGACUGUAAAUGUGAUGAUUGGUGGGGAUGUAUCAUGGCUCAAACUAUCUUAGGGGUAAAUAAAAUCCAGCCAUAUCAUUUUUCAACCUGUAGCUUACAAGAUUAUAUAAAUGCUCUACGAAUUGGCCAUGGUAUUUGUUUGUUCAACAAACCUAAUCAGCUUGAAGAUUUUCGAACGUGUGGCAACAACGUGGUAGAAAAAGGAGAGGAGUGUGAUUGUGGUAGCAUCGAAGAAUGUAUGCAAGCUGAUCCAUGCUGUGAUCCAAUUACUUGUAAAUUAAGAGUGGAAGCUGAAUGCUCUAUGGGUCCAUGUUGUGAAGACUGCAAGCUUCGCGGUUCGAAUCACAUGUGUCGUCUGUCUAUAACUGAAUGUGAUAUUCCAGAAUAUUGUGAUGGCAAAGAUGGACAAUGUCCGAAUGAUUUAUUUAAGAAGAAUGGUGCACCUUGUAAGAAUGGAGCUGGCUAUUGCUUCCAUGGUAGCUGUCCAACACCAGAAGACCAGUGUGAAUUUUUAUGGGGAGUUGGAGCCAUGCAGUCUGAACUACAAUGCUAUCGUCAGUUUAACACCCAAGGUACGCUUAGCGGUAACUGUGGAUCUGAUGGACAAGGAGGUUUUAUAAAGUGUACUGAAGAUAAUAUGAAGUGCGGAUCUCUGCAAUGCCAGCGUGGAUCACGUGCACCUAUGAUCGCAAAUAAGGAUAUGCAAUAUACAAGAACAAUUGCAUCGAUCGCGGGUACAGAAUACGAAUGCAAAGUUACCUCCGGUACUAUCACUGACGAUAUUCGUGACUUGGGUUUGGUGACUGAUGGGACUAAAUGUGCUGAGGAUAAGAUAUGUAUGAAUCAAACCUGUAUUAGUAUUGAUGUAUUUAUUGAGCCUGGAACGUGUCCAACAAACAAUAUUGCCCUGCCUUGUUCAGGACAUGGAGUUUGUUCUAAUAUCAACACUUGUCACUGUGAUGCAAGCUGGACAUCCUUUGAUUGUAGUCAACCGAAAAGUUCAAGGCCCGAUACCGUAGAUCAUGCUAAUACACCUCCUGGAACUUUAAGGAAACCUGGAGAAAGUGACUCAAUGACAACCAAGAAACCAACCUUGGAUGCGGUAGAUGCUUGGAGAAACAAAACAUCUAAAUCAAAUACUCCGUACGGGGUGGGAAAGAAAGAUGUCCUCAGCACCCCAUCACUCGUAAUAGUUCUUGUGUGUGUUGUUGGUGGAGUGUUUAUUUUCUUCGCUUUAUUAGCCACCUGCUACAGAAGACAGAGUGCUAUGCCCAAGCCGGACCCAUCCCACCUGAAAAAACAUUCAAGUCGCAAAUUUUCAUCCACUCAAGGUUCCAUCAAGGUUGAUGAUAGCUCUUCCCAGGAAAACGUGAACCGUAUUAUUACUUUCGGAAGUAUGCCUUCCUACAGGGAAGACAAGCUUCAGGAAUUAAAAAGACAGCAGGUUUUACAGUUGAAAGACACAUCGUGUUCAGAUGGUGAAGAGCUACUUGAUGAGACCUCUGCAUUUAUUGAACUGUCACCUAACAAUCUCUCUAAGGUUCCAGAGAAGGGAAUAUUAAAGCGAGCAAUCAGAUCGGAUAAAGAAAAAUGGAGUGACGAAGCGUCUCAGUCAGAUAACCAAGAUAUAAUGAGUCAGGCAGACAGCCAUGGUGAGCGUAACAGUGAUGCACUAACAGAAGUUGAAAGAACUUUAAAGAGCUUGAAUGGAUAUCACGAAGAAAUAUUAGAGGCCCUUCACACUGUGUCUUCCCAUCGUCCACUCGAUAGCCAGGGAAGUCCACAGGAUACCAAAAAAACAUUUAUGGACGCUGUAGCAGAUUACAGUGUCAUUAAAACUAGUACUGAACAUCUAGGGAACACGAGCAGUGAGGAAGCUGAGGACAUGGUGCCACCUUGUGGACCAAUUAGGAUAAGAAACUUAGAAGAUCUUUUGCGGCAACUUGAACACCAGCCUUUGCACGUAUCCCCAGCAGGUUCUGAUCUUCGUCUAAGUGAGCCAGAAGCUGAUCGUCAUUAUCGAGUGGAUAGGACGGACAGUGCAAGUGGUACUGAAAGCCAGCUAGAGCCAGGGCUACAGUUCUACUUAGGCAGAAAGCAGAGGCAAUCUGCUGGUGACGUUUCAGGCCGUUUUACACGAGUCCCUCCCACGGAGACGGAAGAAGAUGAGGAAGAGUUUGAUGAAGAGGGUAGCAUUGAGGAUGAAGGAGAAGAUGGGGAUUACGACGCAGCGCAUCAGUUUGUCCGUAGUGCGAGUGAAGAGGCCCUCCCGAUUACUUACAAACCAGAUUACGCUUAUGAGAGGAACUUAAACAUUAAACAGCCACAAGACAAAACACUAAAAAUUGACGGUUGUGAGUAUGUACCUAGUCCACCAUCCGAUGAAAUUUACGAUGGACUGUACGAUGAUAAGGGUUAUUUUCCUCCAUCUACAACUAGGUCGGAUCGUGCUCAGUUACCCGUAACUGCUCCGCCUUCUUCUAGCUCCUCCACUUCCGGCUCCCAACCUCCUUCGGGAGCCAAAAGAAAAGGAAAAAAGAAAUUUCCGGAGUACAAGGUCUAACAUAUGAUUUUAAUUAAAUAAAAGAAUUGCUAGUCAUUUAAUUUAUUGUUAUUCAAAAGACUUAAAUAUCAAGAAUUUAUAGGAAAUCAUUUUAUGGAAAUCACAUCUUAAUAAAGGGCAAGUUUUUAACUUAUUCAUGUGGCAUCUGCACAUAGAAAUUACAUUUGCUCAGUAAAUCAGGUUGCUGCUGCAUGCCACCACUUUUGAAGAUUUGGUUUUUGCUCACAUUCACGGUCACUUUUUCUUAAGAUUUAUUUAGAUAAAAAUAUACUUAUAUAUUUCACAUGUACACAGACUUUUUAACUUUCUAUUAUAAAUUAUGGAAGCUGAAUUCAAAGUAAUUGUGAAUUAUCGAGGAAUGCUUUAAAGUAAGGCUUGCUAAGGAAGAAGAUUAUUUAAUUUACUGAAAACUUUUUGUCUGAAACAAAACAAAACACAAGAAAAAAUGUUUAAAAUUUAAUCAUUUCUGUCAGCUGACAGUAAACUUUGUUAUGGUUUUACUGUUUCUUUAUAUGUAUUUAAAACUGUUGUAUUACGUAAUUUCAUGAACGACCUUUGAAUUCUUAUUAAAUAAUUUUGUGUAAAUAGAUUAAGGGUGCACAUACCUCAGAAGCUAAAUGUGAUCCUUAAAUGAUCGAGACCCCUGCCUAAGAGCCAACAA
rnacentral:misc_RNA from 1 species